UACGGAGGAUCCGAGCGUUAUCCGGAUUUAUUGGGUUUAAAGGGUGCUCAGGCGGGGGAUUAAGUCGGCGGUGAAAUUUUGCAGCUCAACUGUAAAAGUGCCUUCGAAACUGGUUUCCUUGAGUGCGGAUGAGGUAGGCGGAAUUUGUGGUGUAGCGGUGAAAUGCAUAGAUAUCACGAGGAACUCCGAUUGCGCAGGCAGCUUACCAAGCCGUAACUGACGCUCAAGCACGAAGGCGUGGGGAUCAAACAGG
rnacentral:rRNA from 1 species